rnacentral:tRNA from 1 species
AAUAUUAUGCCUGAAGUUAAGGAGUAAAUUGUAAAUUUAUUAAUGAAAUUAAUUUUUCUAAUAUUA